AACGGUACAAAUCCACCGCCGGCAGAUAUUGUCUUCUUUGAGCUUUCCCUUUCGUGCUUCCACUCAAAGUUUUUAUAACGCAUGUGUUAGGAGAUGUUUCCACACCCUUAUAAAGAAUGUUUCGUUCUCCUCCCCGACCUAUGUGAGAUCUCACAAU